GUACAUGUUUUAAUUGGUGGGUCACAUGUUCAUGGCUGCUGACUGAGCCGUUGUGUCUACUAGUGUUAUCUAUACUUGUAUAAGGUACUUUCUCCACUCUCUUAACUCCUGGAAGUGCUCGUGUUUGGACUCCUAAGAUCUGCCAUACCCUCCCGCCAAAUCCUGCCUUGGGUUUCCCCUGGGUUAUCUAAACCACCCUGGACAACACCUCAGUAAACAUCACUCUUGUAUAAGGUACUUUCUCCACUCUCUUAACUCCUGGAAGUGCUCGUGUUUGGACUCCUAAGAUCUGCCAUACCCUCCCGCCAAAUCCUGCCUUGGGUUUCCCCUGGGUUAUCUAAACCACCCUGGACAACACCUCAGUAAACAUCACUCUUGUAUAAGGUACUUUCUCCACUCUCUUAACUCCUGGAAGUGCUCGUGUUUGGACUCCUAAGAUCUGCCAUACCCUCCCGCCAAAUCCUGCCUUGGGUUUCCCCUGGGUUAUCUAAACCACCCUGGACAACACCUCAGUAAACAUCACUCUUGUAUAAGGUACUUUCUCCACUCUCUUAACUCCUGGAAGUGCUCGUGUUUGGACUCCUAAGAUCUGCCAUACCCUCCCGCCAAAUCCUGCCUUGGGUUUCCCCUGGGUUAUCUAAACCACCCUGGACAACACCUCAGUAAACAUCACUCUUGUAUAAGGUACUUUCUCCACUCUCUUAACUCCUGGAAGUGCUCGUGUUUGGACUCCUAAGAUCUGCCAUACCCUCCCGCCAAAUCCUGCCUUGGGUUUCCCCUGGGUUAUCUAAACCACCCUGGACAACACCUCAGUAAACAUCACUCUUGUAUAAGGUACUUUCUCCACUCUCUUAACUCCUGGAAGUGCUCGUGUUUGGACUCCUAAGAUCUGCCAUACCCUCCCGCCAAAUCCUGCCUUGG